rnacentral:lncRNA from 1 species
CCAUGUCAUCUCUCCCUGUCACGUCACAUGCAAUCCCUAUAUGCCACCCCAGUGACGGGAUUAUGUGUGUGUGUGUGUGUAUACAUAUAUAUGUAUAUGUAUGUAUAUAUAUGUGUGUGUGUAUAUUUACAUAUGUAUAUGUACACUAUGUGUAUGUAUAUAUGUAUAUGUAUGUAUAUAUGUGUGUGUAUAUUUACAUAUGUAUAUGUACACUAUGUGUAUGUAUAUAUA